rnacentral:lncRNA from 1 species
AUGCCUGGAAAUCCAUUGGAUACAUCUCCAACGACAUCAGACUCAGCAACAACAACACAAUUACAAUCCCCAAAACCGACCGCUCAAACACCCGAAGUUGCAGGUGAGAAUUUUCAAAAUUUGAAGUCAUCGGCAUCUGAAUCAGCCACACCUGCGGUUUCAUCUUACUCUGAGAAUAAUUCUGAGAAUAUUCCGAAUACUUCUGCGUUGUUAUCCGGGGCUGCAAUACCGAUAGUCUCAUCGAAACCCCUGAAACAUUCGAUGCCAACGUACCAAACAGCUCCCUCGGAUAAACCCAUAUUUUCUGCUGAAUCAAAUCGACGCCCUGGAUCUAUCACACCCUCAGUACCAAUAAACAGUUCAGGAGCAAAACCACCCCCGAGAAAUAGAUUCUUUUCAUGGCCGAAUUUCAAACCUUCCCCAUCAUCAAGGACUGAUGUGCCUGAGAAGAAUCCUGAAACUUCUCUUCAGCUAUCUGAUAAUACCAUGUCAAAGCAAGAGACCCCAAUCAUUUCGUCACCUGCAUCGGCAUCACUAACUUCAAAUGAUUCAUCCAUUUCUCAGUCACAUGAACUUCCUAAAUCCGAGUCACCUGCCAACUCUAAUGUAUCAUUGGCAACAGAAGCUCAAAAAAGUGACAUUUCAUCACCAGUAGAAAGUUUGAAACAACCCUCAAGAUUAAAUCUUUUUCCUUGGCGAACAUCAAAAACUUCCUCACCGGUAACUGGAACCACGCCAGAGAAUCUCGCUGAAGCUUCACCAACACCCGCCCCAAUCAACCCACCACCGGCACAAACAAUUUCAGCAGCAGGCACCCAGACAUCAGGGAUGGGAGACGGAAAUUCAAGAGCGUCAUCCUUAAAAUCUAAGCCAGCAAUGAGUGGUUUUAACUUUUCUAAUUUUUUCUCCUGGAGAACUGCGAGAUUUAAUAAAUCGUCUCCACCCAAAACGAAAGCACCAAGUAAAACUGAGACAUCAACUCCCACGUUGGCUCCAACCACGGAACAACUAGCAUCGACAGCUUCAACGACUUUUUCAACAACUAGCGCAUCCGCUUCACCGAUUCCAGAUGAUAAAACUACCCCUACGAAACCUACACAAAGUAAUACAUUUAUCCCUCCUGAAGGAUCUAACUUUAGUUUCAAUGCAUUUUGGAAACCGGCUAAAGCAUCAGCGGCGUUUACCAGUGACUCUGACGCUAAAUUUAACUCUGCAGCUUCUACAAGUACUAAACCAGAGGAAACUUGGAAAUUAAACGAGACUCCAAAUCUUCCGCAAUCCUCAUCAAAUAAUCUGUUCCAAACUCCAUCAUCGCCAUUCUUGCAAGACUCUCCUAAUGUACAGACAAGUUAG